AUUGAACGCUGGCGGCAGGCCUAACACAUGCAAGUCGAACGCGUGGCGCACGGGUGUAUCAUGUAUGGGACACUGCCUUAUGGAUGGGGAAACCUCCUGGAACCGGUAGCUAUUACCGCAUAGCAUCCGAUGUUCCACGGUUGGAUGAGCUAGUUGGUGGGGUAACGGCUAACAAAGGAGACGAUCCCUAGCUGGUCUGAGAGGGUGACCAGCCACACUGGAACUGAGACACGGUCCAGACUCCUACGGGAGGCAGCAGUAGGGAAUAUUGCACAAUGGGCGAAAGCCUGAUGCAGCCAUGCCGCGAGGUGGAAGAAGGACUUCGGAUUGUAAAACACUUUCAGUGGGGAGGCGUUACCAGCAGAUGAAGCACCGGCUAACUCCGUGCCAGCAGCCGCGGUAAUAC
rnacentral:rRNA from 1 species